rnacentral:rRNA from 1 species
AACGAACGCUGGCGGCAGGCUUAACACAUGCAAGUCGAGCGAGACCUUCGGGUCUAGCGGCGGACGGGUGAGUAACGCGUGGGAACGUGCCCUUCUCUACGGAAUAGCCCCGGGAAACUGGGAGUAAUACCGUAUACGCCCUUUGGGGGAAAGAUUUAUCGGAGAAGGAUCGGCCCGCGUUGGAUUAGGUAGUUGGUGGGGUAAUGGCCCACCAAGCCGACGAUCCAUAGCUGGUUUGAGAGGAUGAUCAGCCACACUGGGACUGAGACACGGCCCAGACUCCUACGGGAGGCAGCAGUGGGGAAUCUUAGACAAUGGGGGCAACCUUGAUCUAGCCAUGCCGCGUGAGUGAUGAAGGCCUUAGGGUUGUAAAGCUCUUUCAGCUGGGAAGAUAAUGACGGUACCAGCAGAAGAAGCCCCGGCUAACUCCGUGCCAGCCGCCGCGGUAAGAC